AUCUCCGGUUACAAACGUAAAUUUUUUACAUACUCCCCUGGGAGAAAGGGUUACACAUUUUGCACUUAGCCAUUAGCAUUUCCCAUUCAUUUGUAUUUUAGAUUUGUGAAGAGCUGGCAUCUAGCAGGGUUCUGUGGGAGUGAGAAACAGGGUAGACAACAGUGGUUGGUGAGACACGGGCUGGGCAAGAGAGGCCAAAAUGUACUGAACUAAACAAGAAUGUGGACACAUGGCUUUUGUGUCCCCUCUAGGUAAGGGGCGCAGUUCUAUGAGACUCCUGGGGUGCCAAAAUGGGGUGUCUGGAACAUUUUCACCGUCGGUGCAGGCAGUGGAUAGGAUUUUUGGAAUCUGGACUGUCUUGGAUUUCUGGCGUCUGGUCUUCCCAGCCUCUAGGUGGGGCCAGUUGACCCGGGCAGCCCAGAACCCUGGGAGAUGUGAUUGACGGGGUCGGGCAGCACCCAGUUGGCACAGUCGAGCCAGAGGCAGCAGUGACAAGAGGGCUGGCAAUUGCAAGGUUCCGGGGGGAGGCGAUUCCGAGGGGACUGCCGGCCAACCACGUAGUUCCUUUCUUCCCGGGCCGACACUGGCCACACGUGAGGCCUGAAGAUGGGGCACGGGAGGCCAAGGACAAGGGAUGUUACUCCUGAAACCAUGCACCUCAGAUUGGGAUUUGAACCCACGCAGCAGGGACUCGAACCCAGCCAAAACCCACAGUCUUCCAACUGACAUCACACACCUGGUUUCAGGACUUAAUGAAGCUCAGGUUCUUGAUGUCUCAUCGCAGAAAGAAUUCAGUGAGAGACAAAGGGAUAGGUGCCGUACUGGGGGGCCUCCAAGGAGCUCCAGUCCUUUAUGUCUCAACGCAGAAAGAAGCCAGAGGGAAAGUGAUAGAUAAGAAGUGAUUUAU